rnacentral:rRNA from 1 species
AAAUUCCUUGUCGGGUAAGUUCCGACCUGCACGAAUGGCGUAACGACUUCCCCACUGUCUCGACCAGGAGCUCGGCGAAAUUGCAGUACGAGUAAAGAUGCUCGUUAAGCGCAGAAGGACGAAAAGACCCCGGGACCUUUACUAUACCUUGGUAUUGGCAUUCGGUGUGGAUUGUGUAGCAUAGGCGGAAGGCUUCGAAGCCACGGCGCCAGCCGCGGUGGAGCCGCAAGGUGAAAUACCGCUCUGUUCGCAUUGGAUGUCUAACCUCGACCAGUCAUCCUGGUCAGGGACAGUGCCUGGCGGGUAGUUUAACUGGGGCGGUUGCCUCCCAAAGAGUAACGGAGGCGCUCAAAGGUUCCCUCAGCCCGGUUGGCAAUCGGGUGGCGAGUGUAAGUGCACAAGGGAGCUUGACUGCGAGACUGACGGGUCGAGCAGGGACGAAAGUCGGAACUAGUGAUCCGGUGCCGGUGUACGGACGCGGCAUCGCUCAACGGAUAAAAGGUACCCCGGGGAUAACAGGCUGAUCAUUCCCAAGAGUCCAUAUCGACGGGAUGGUUUGGCACCUCGAUGUCGGCUCGUCGCAUCCUGGGGCUGGAGCAGGUCCCAAGGGUUCGGCUGUUCGCCGAUUAAAGCGGCACGCGAGCUGGGUUCAGAACGUCGUGAGACAGUUUGGUCUCUAUCCUCUGCGCUCGUCGGAAUGUUGAGGAGGCCUGCCCAUAGUACGAGAGGACCUGGGUGGACGAACCUCUGGUAUGCCGGUUGUCACGCCAGUGGCACGGCCGGUUGGCUACGUUCGGAAGGGAUAACCGCUGAAAGCAUCUAAGCGGGAAGCCUGCUCCAAGAUAAGCAUUCCAUAGGACUACGGGUCCUUGAAGUCCCCAUGCAGAACACGUGGUUGAUAGGCCGGACGUGGAAGCCCCGCGAGGGGUGGAGCCGACCGGUACUAACGGACGAAAGGCAACACAAC